CCUCCCCUGCCCCCUCAGCCGCCGGGCGGCAGAAGGAGGCGGCCAGCCUACUCCUGCCCCUCAGCCGGACGAACCGCGGCUGCCGCGCCUGUCACCUCUGCACCUGCCUGGCUGAGCAGAAAAAAAUUUAAAUUUAAAACAGAAAUGGCCACAUAAGGACAAUUCAGAUGAAGGGCAAGCGGACUGACAUCGCGCACUUGGGUCUUUCCUGGAAAGACGGCGGCGCUGUGGGAGAAGCCUAGUCCUCCGGCUUGUCCCAGGACCCGCCCCGAAGGGCGUUGGGAGCGCGGUGAGGACGUGGCUGUCCCCUUGCGCAUCUCACUCCGGAGACAGGUUCCGCAUCUCGGCCGCUUGGCUCCAAGAUAAUCUGGCGAAAGUUUAGAGGCGGCCAGCCCCUCCCGGGGACUCAGCCCCUAGAUUCAGCUUCUUCAGCAAGAAAAAACCUCCCACGCCCUGCGAACUCGCAGCGUGCCUCUCCGGGCUUCCGGCGUGGGAGUCCCAGCUACACUUUCGAGCCCUUUGCUUGGUCCGCAUCUAUCAGCUCCUCGAUUACGGAAAGCGCAGUGAGGACGGAGGGAACUGCGGCCUCACGUACCAGGCCUCUGUAGUCCCCCACGUGGCUGGGUCACAAGGAAGCAAUUCCACAAU